UCGAGGAUCUUCGGCAAUGGGCGCAAGCCUGACCGAGCGACGCCGCGUGUGCGAUGAAGGCCUUCGGGUUGUAAAGCACUGUCGAGGGGGAGGAAGCCGCAAGGUUGACCUAUCCCUGGAGGAAGCACGGGCUAAGUUCGUGCCAGCAGCCGCGGUAAGACGAACCGUGCGAACGUUGUUCGGAAUCACUGGGCUUAAAGGGCGCGUAGGCGGCUCAUCAAGUCGGGGGUGAAAUCUUUCGGCUCAACCGGAAAAGUGCCUUCGAUACUGGUGGGCUCGAGCGAGGUAGGGGCAGCUGGAACUUCCGGUGGAGCGGUGAAAUGCGUUGAUAUCGGAAGGAACGCCGGUGGCGAAAGCGAGCUGCUGGACCUCUUCUGACGCUGAUGCGCGAAAGCCAGGGGAGCAAACGGGAUUAGAUACCCCCGUAGUCC
rnacentral:rRNA from 1 species